rnacentral:rRNA from 1 species
GAUGAACGCUGGCGGCGUGCUUAACACAUGCAAGUCGAACGAUGAAGCCCAGCAUGCUGGGUGGAUUAGUGGCGAACGGGUGAGUAACACGUGAGUAACCUGCACUUACCUCUGGGAUAAGCCUAGUACACUGGGCCUAAUACCGGAUAGCAUAGCCUCCCGAAUGGAGGGUGUUGGACAGAUUUAUCGGUUUUGGAUGGACUCGCGGACUAUCAGCUUGUUGGUGAGGUAAGGGAUCACCAAGGCGACGACGGGUAGCCGGCCUGAGAGGGUGACCGGCCACACGGGGACUGAGACACGGCGCAGACGGCUAUGUGAGGCAGCAGUGGGGAAUAUUACACAACGGGCGAAAGUCUGAUGCAGCGACGCUGCGUGAGGGAAGACGGCCCUCGGGUUGUAAACCGCGUUCAGUAGGGAAGAAGCGAAAUUGACGGUACCUGCAGAAGAAGCACCGGCUAACUACGUG